AAUAUUUUUUUUUUAUCAUAUACUUAGACUAAAUAACAUAUGAAUUUUACCGUAUGAUAAUAGCAUUAAAUUAACGUAUAUUUCAUAUUUUUUCCAAUUAGUGCUUAGCGGGCUGAUAUGAAAAGUUUAUCACAUGCUUCGAUUGUUAUCACAUGCCUUUCCGUAACGUUAUCACAUGGCAUUCCGGUGAUACUCGGCAAAUUCCGGAAAAUACACCUCAAUACUACGUUUGAAAAACAUUACAAAGUAGUGUACAAAACAAUUAUUUGGAUACUGGAAAAUAUAUUGUGUAAAAUAAUAUAAAAAAAAAAAAAAAAAAAAAAUUAUUUAAUAAAUGCAUUUUUUAAAAGUUUCAAAC
rnacentral:lncRNA from 1 species